CACCACUGUCAUCACUCUCUCCUCUCUCCUGUCUGUCGGUGCUUCUCCCUCAUUGUGCACAGACACUUUCUCGGUUUCCCUCUGAUUUUUCUCGCGCUCUCUCUUUCUCUACGCUUGUGGUCCCUCUCCUCGCCCCUCCUCUCUCUCAGCUUUUUUCUCCUCUUCUUUCUUUUUUUCUCUGACUCUGUCCCAAAAGCAGAGAUAGGAUCUGUUACAAUCAACAGCAGCCUCACCAAGAGUCCAGACCCUGCAGCUCAGGCUUGUGCCAACCCUAGCGGGAACAUCAGUGGGUGGGCACUUGACAAAACCAGCACCAGAGAAUUAAUACCAGUCAGUGCUGCUGAAGGUGUGACUCAGCCCCGGCCCUCUACACACUGAUCCACACAGGAUUAAGCCACUGUAUGAUGCGUCAAGUGGAAGACCUGGUGCAGCUGAUGUACUGUUCCUGUCAGACUUAACAUCUUUGGAGGCCUUUUCUGCCCCGCUCCUGUCUUGUGUAAACGGACUAGUAACAAGCCACUGCACCAACCGGAUCACCCACAGGGAUGACUGACAGUCAUCUUGGUCAGGAGUAAGAGAGGAAGCAAUGGGCUGGACUAUGACUCUAAAAGAUGACUUUGGGGUCAUUGCCUGGACACGGCGAGCUGAGAACUAUCUCAUCCUCUUCCUGCUCUUGUCUCUCUUUUCCAUCCCAGUCCAGUCAGACAUUGUGUUUCCUAAGGAGCACCACUUCUCAUGGAAAGCAGGUCAGUGGGGUCAGUGUAUCGGGAAGGAAUGUGGUACUGGUGGUGUUCAAACAAGGACAAUAUGGUGUGUCCACAUGGAAGGCUGGACAACCCACCACUCCCACUGCAAGCACACUGACAAGCCAGAGAGCCAGCGGCACUGCUUUAAGGUCUGUGAUUGGCACCAGGAUCUAUUUGAGUGGGAGGUGUCUGAGUGGGGCAGCUGUGUUCUUGUCCCUUUCUUUUCCAAUGAGCUCAAGCUGAGGACAGUUGAGUGCAUUACUGCACAGCAUGGCCUCCAGAGGCGUAAAGUCCACUGUGUACGCACUUCAAACCGUACCACAGUCACCUCCAAGAUAUGCGAGUUCUUUUCUCAGAAACCCCCUCUGGAACAGGCUUGCCUCAUCCCUUGCCCCCAGGACUGUGUAGUUUCAGACUUCACCUCCUGGUCAAGUUGCAGCAAAACCUGCGGUGCUGGCCUGCAGCAUCGGACUCGACAUGUCCUGGCCACACCAAUGUAUGGAGGGGCAAACUGCCCCAACCUUACUGAGACCAGGACUUGUUCUAACCCUGUUGACUGCCCUGCCUGGGAGGACAAGUACCAGUACAGCCUUAAAGUAGGAGCCUGGAGCAAAUGCCGACUACUCCACCACAAGGACAUCCUGUUAAGUGGAAGGACUACAGUGGAGUUCAGCACCACCUCUAAUGAGAACAACACAGUCACUUUGCACACACUGGCUUCUCACCACCAUUCCCAUCACAAUCACCAGGCUCAUGUGCACAAGUACCCCAUGUCAUGGGAACUGGAGGUGGGAUACCAGACACGACAAGUGCGUUGCACACGGAGUGAUGGCAGAAAUGCUAUGCUGAGUCUUUGUACCAAGAACAACUCCCCCCUGACCUUCCAGGCUUGUGUGAUGCCCAAAGACUGUCAGACAUCUGACUGGUCAUCAUGGAGCCCCUGCUCUAAGACCUGCCGGUCCACCGACCUGUCUCCUGGUUACCGCCUCCGGUCACGGAUCAUGACACAGAUCCCGGUCAGUGGGGGGGAACUAUGCCCUGCCCUUGAGGAAAAAGAAGCUUGCAACAUCAUAGGAGACUUACUUCCAAACUGCCCCAGAUAUGUGUGGAGGACCACAGACUGGGGCGAGUGUCGCAUCCUCCCCUUCCUGAGCCAGCAGGACCAGCGGCUGGCUAACAUCAGUAUUCUUUGUGGAGGGGGGAUCCAAACCAGGAAGACCUACUGUGUUCAAAUCCCUGAUGACUCAGCGCCUCAUCACAGGAAUGAGGUGUCCAGACCUGUGAAUGCCAGACUGUGUGCCAGUGAAGAGCCCCCCGCUGCCGUCCAGCAGUGCUCCAUCCCCUGCCAGCGCCACUGCCUGCUCUCUCCAUGGUCACCCUGGGGUGCCUGCCUACAUGACAACUGCAAAGUUCCACAAGGGAAGAAAGGUUUCAGACAGAGGAGGAGAGAGGUGCUGUGGGAGUCCAGCAGUUCUGCCGAGACCUGUCCUCAUCUGGUCGAGUCAAUCCCCUGUGAGGAUCCUGCCUGCUAUAUGUGGCAGGUUCAACAAGAGGAAACAUGCAUUCCCACUGAAAGCUCCUGUGGUCCUGGAACGGCAGUCCAGAAUGUGACCUGUAUCAGCAGCGAAGGGCUAUAUGUGCCUGUUGGCCACUGUGUAGAUGACCCUCCACGCAGAGAAAUAGUCUGCGAGGUGGCCUGUCCUGCCGACUGUGUGGUUGGCUCCUGGUCCUCCUGGUCACCCUGCUCACACAGCUGUGCCACAAAGAAGGCAGAGGGCCGACAGAGCCGCACGCGCACUGUAUUAGCCAUCCCAGGGAAAGAGGGGAAAGAGCGUCCAGCAACUCCAGGUCUGGAGGAGUGGAGAGUCUGCAAUGACCAUCCUUGCAUGGUGUUCUACUGGGAGGUCUCAGCCUGGGGUCCCUGUGUUGAGGACACCUCCAUGGAUCUCAAUGGAACCAACUUCUGGAAUGGGACUCCCACCUGCGCUGUGGGUAUCCAGACUCGCAAAGUGAGCUGUAUGAAGAUGAACGGUGGAUCUGUUAUAAGUAAAAGGUGUUCAGAGUCUUCUCGUCCAGAAACUGUCCGACCCUGUUUCCUUCCCUGCAAGAAAGACUGCACCGUGACACCCUUCAGUGAAUGGACAGCCUGCCCAUCAACCUGUAUGCCAGAAAAUGCGACUGCUGCCACACAGUCUCGAUACAGGACCAUCAGUCAGAGGUCUGCUAAUGGAGGUCAAGAGUGUCCUGACACACUGUAUGAAGAGAGGGAGUGUGAAACACUUGUUUGUCCAGUGUAUAGGUGGAGAACACACAAGUGGCACAGCUGUACUCUGGUUCCAGAUUCUGUUCAACGUGGACUGGGUGGACCAGGAGAAGCCUGUGGAAAUGGUUUAGAAACAAGAGGACUCAGUUGCGUUGGGGAGAGCGAUGAGUCAGCCAAUAUGACAGAGUGCCUGCAAUGGGCUGGCGCCUUGCCCCCUCAGAUCAGAGACUGCCGGCUAGCUUGCAAGGAUGACUGCACUCUAACUGCAUGGUCCAAGUUCUCUGAGUGUGCUGGAUGUGGCAGUUCCCGGAGUCGCAAACGCUCACUCACAGGUCGCAGCAAAAAGAGGGAACACUGUCUGAAUGAGAAGUUGUACCCUCUGGAGGAGACAGAGGCUUGUCCCUGUGAGGAGUUUUUGUCCCAGCCCCACGGAAACUGGUCGAGUUGUAUCCUUCCUGAUCCUUCAGUCCCAGGUUCCCUGCAGGGCUGGAUGAGCCACCGGGAGGUAAAGGAGUGUGGUCAAGGUUUGCGAUACAGAGCUGUGGCUUGCAUUGACCAGCAGGGACACCUGGUCAACCCUACACUCUGUACACACUCGGGCUACAUGGUGGAGGUUUGCCACAUCCCUUGCCCCCUAGACUGUAAGCUCAGCGACUGGUCAGCCUGGUCAGCCUGCAGUGUAUCCUGUGGCAGUGGGUUGAAAAUCAGGUCCAAAUGGCUGAGGGAAAAAGCUUUCAAUGGAGGACGUCCAUGCCCCAAGCUGGACUUGAAGAACCAGGCUCAGGUGUACGAGGCCGUGCCGUGCCACAGUGAGUGCAGCCAGUAUGAGUGGAGGGUGGAGCCCUGGUCCAUUUGUACCAUCAACACCGCGGACGACCUGCCAGCCUGCGGGGAGGGAGUCCAAAGCCGCAAGAUCAGGUGUGUGAAGAAGGGAACGAGUGGGGAUGCAAGCGCUGUGGAGGACAGUCUGUGUGAUCAGGAGGAAAUGCCACCUAGAGCCCAGGUCUGCUUUCUGGCCUGCCCCAAUGACUGUGUCAUGGCACCCUGGGAACCUUGGACCAACUGCCCUCUGCAAUGUGAGCAAGGGACAGCAAGGAACAGGAGUAGACAUAUCCUCCGCCUUCCAACCUCAGAAAACUCGGCUUGUCCAGAGCUGGUCCAGUCAGAGCUCUGCACCCUCAACAGCACCUGCUUCACCUACCAGUACAGAGUCUCAGACUGGAGUACAUGUCAGCUGAGUGAACAUGCCAUCUGUGGUCAGGGUUCACGGUUGCGUCUCCUGGACUGUAUUCGCAGUGAUGGCAAGAUUGUGAAGUUAGAGAAGUGCGAGCAGUUUGGUCAGAUCAACAAGUGGAGGCUGUCGGAGAGCUGCGUUGUUGACUGUCCCAUCAGCUGUGUACUCUCUGAUUGGUCGCCGUGGGUGGAAUGCUCGCACACCUGUGGAAGUCAAGGUCUGUCUGUGCGCACCCGGAGAAUUCUGCAGGAGGCUCAUGAUGAGGGUCGUCCCUGUCCCAGCCAGCUCACCCAGACCAAACCAUGUCCCAUAAGGCCUUGCUAUACGUGGGUGCUGAGUGACUGGUCCCCAUGCACUGUACAGGGUGCAGAGUGUGGUGAGGGGCUUCGGAGAAGGAACCUGUCAUGUGUCGUCCACUGGGGCGGCUGGCCUGAGUCUCCUCCUCAGCCAGUAGAAGAGGAGCUUUGUGGAGACAAACGGAGGCAGCAGGUCCAACAGGAUAUGGAGCAGCCCUGUUUUGUACCCUGCCCAGGAGACUGCCAUUUGACAGAGUGGUCAUCUUGGAGCUCAUGCCAGCUAAUCUGCCUGGAGGGGCGGGGCUUUGAGACCACCGGUCGCCAAGCGCGCUCUAGAGCUGUGAUUGUUCAAGUUAUGGAGAACCAGGACAGCUGCCCGCACCAAGUCUUUGAGACCCAGCCCUGUAAAGAAGGAAAAUGCCACAGUUAUGAGUGGAAGGCAGGAGGAUGGAGCAACAAUAAGAGGGCAGUGUGGUGUCAGCGCUCAGAUGGCGUCAAUGUCACAGGGGGGUGUUUCCCACAGAAAAGGCCAACCACGGUCAGACACUGCCAUCCUCCGUGCACCAAACCCUUCUCACACUGCACACCGAGCGGCGUGUGUGGGUGUGAGAAGGGUUACACCGAAGUGAUGACCACACACGGCUUCCUGGACUACUGCACCAGAACCCCAGGGGUAGACAACAACAAGAAAGCUGAUGUGAAAACCAAUUCGGGAAGAUUAAAACCCGGGCCGCCUCAGGUCCAAGACCUCUUCAGCGAGUGGACCUUGCAACCUGUUGGCCCAGAUGGAAGAGUAAAGCUGUGGGUUUAUGCUGUGACUGUCGUUGGAUUCAUCCUAAUACUCUUCGUUAUUGCAUUAUCAUUCCUGGUCUGCAAGCCAUCCAAAACCACUAAGGCAUCUCCACCGCAGAAGCCCUUGACUCUGGCUUAUGAUGGGGACAUGGAUAUGUAACCAGGCUGCUAUAGACUGCAUUCAGAUUGUUACAUACCAGUGAUUAUUAACCUGUUUGAGCUGGGUGACGUGUUACUGUAGCUUCAGCUGUGAUCCAGGAACGGAGCAAACAGACAAAUUGAGGUUCACGUGAUUUGCUGUUGAGGGGCAACGUAGCCCAGAGUUUUUGGCUGCAGCCAACUUUCCUCUACAGGUAAGAAGAACCAAAGCUGGUCAAGAUGAAAAUGAGACACAAAGGUCUGUGGACAUAGGAAAUAAACUGGUCUCUAGUUUUUUAACUGCUUGCAACAUGAACACAUAGAACCCCUGUUUGCAACCUACAAAACAUGGCAUUCUGAAAAACAAGGUGGUACCACAAGUGUUUAUUCUGGAGGGUUUUUGUGUUUGUGGGUGUGAAGACUCAGAAGGGCCACAUGGCUUUUUGUCUCAUUUUUGUGCUGUGAGAGAGACAAAAACCUUUAGUCCACAGUCACCCAUGACAUUCAAAGGACAAAGGAAACUGACAUUUGACUUUGUCUCAUCAGUGCUGGAUCUUUACAAAAGGAAAUGUCCCAAGACUUCUGGGUAAAUAAACAGCCUUUUUUGAAGUAUUGAGAAUAAACAAGAUGCUCUAUGCACUAUGUUAGUGCUGAUUCUUUUUGUUUGUUUUUCCUUUCAAAUGACUUUUCUAGU